rnacentral:lncRNA from 1 species
GUCUAAUAAUUAUUUGUAAAUAUUACAAAUAUUUUGUAUUAGUAUUUAAUUGACAUCGAUGGAGAGGGAGUUGGGGAUGAUAACUGCCUGGGAUAUGUUAUCAUGGAGUCACGAAGGGAGCUCUUAUGCUUCACUGCGUACAUUAUGCAUUGUACUUUGGAUAGUCUUGGCUCAAAGUUCAUUCAGAUCUCUUCUUCCAACAUUCUAAGGAACAGGGAUCUUAGUGAUUAGUGAAUGGAUUCUUCAAAAUGACGUUUGGAUCCGCAUGUUCCAUGCCAACGCUAAUAAUAAGUCGUUCAAACAUUCGCCUUGCAAUAGAGGAAGGAUUCUUCUCUUCAAGAGCAAGACUAACACUCGAAGCUUGUUUUAUCAUCAAGAUUAAUAUAAAUGUAUUUCUAUUAACCUUGGUCCAGAGAACAUCCACUAUGUUCUUUGAGAUGUAAAGAAGUUAUUCAACACGGGGCUCCCGUCUGAUAUAUAAUGACCUGCAGAAGUAAUUCCUGCACUACUAAGGAGCUCACUCCUACUGUUCAGUCGAUGAUUAUAAUUCAGUGACUCAUUCCCAAUGGUAGAGCUCCAUAAAGAGCACAUCUUCCUCCAAUGAUGGCCCAAUCUUUUCACCACUCCAAACAUUUCAGAUGGAACCAUACAGAUCUGUUCAGCAAAUUAAAAAUUAAUCCCUUGUAAGAAUUCUUGUUUGAUUUGAAUUGCUCAAAUUCACCAGAACUUCUAAGUCGUUUUAACCACGAGAUAUACAGCGAAUUCCACAUAUCUUCUAUGUGAGUAGAACCAAGACCCGAGCGAGUUGUUGAGGAAUCAACCCUCGACCUUGAAACGUAUGCUCUUUGAUGUCACUAUACUAAAUCUUCCCUUAAUUUAUAUAUGCUCUCACAUAUCAUCUUUGAAAAAGGUACUUAUCUCAACAGAUGGAACGUUUUUGGGAGGAUAUUGAUUUCCCAGGCCUUCAGUUUUUAUAUCUGGCUCUCCUACAUCCCUGAUGCCAACUCCCUCGAAUACAACUUUUGGGUGCAUGUUGAGGGGAAGGCCUGCAGUGUCUGUCAUCCAAACACAGAGGCCUUUAAAGCCACUGUCAGCCAGCACUGGGACGCCAUGAGAGAUGACUAUAUCCCCAGUGGGUGCCAUAUCUUCUGCUGGGGAUAUAGUCCUCUCAUAUAAGAUAUCUUAAGUUAGUCGUCACAGUUGGAUAGGACCUGAUAUAGAGAUUCGAAUUCUUUCUUUUUUUUAAUCCUGAAUGGCUUUGAUGGCGUGGGAGAUGGAAUUUGCCAGCUUUUCUUGUUUUCCCGUUAGAAAUAAAACCUUCAAGGCUGAAGUUGGAGUUAAUAACCUCGUUUAAUCCAUUCAUUGCUAUUAAAAAGAGGGAUGGCGAUAACACAUCUCCUUGCCAUGCUCCACCCUGAAUCCGAAACUUAGAGUGAGCACCGGGAAUAUCAAUGCUCGAUGUAAGUUUCUAAGAAUGACCGAGACCAUAUUAACAAAUCCAUUCGGAUAUUAACAAGGCAUUAAUUCAGUAAUAUCUCCUUCCCGCCUUAGACUUGCACUCUUACACAAAUCUUAUCUCUAUGGGUAUAUAAGGAAAUCUGGUUUGUGAUCACAUGAUUGUAUAAGUGAGGAAGCCAGACUCUGACAACAGCCAAUUAGAGGAAGGGUAAAUUGGAGCAAAAUUGACUGCCGAAUAAUCCCCCUUGAAUCUUGCAAUAAAGGAGAAAACUGUAGCGCCAAAUUGCGAAAUCCUGAUCUUCCAUUUGUGCAAAAGGUUGGACGUAUAGUCAGUGGAUGUGAUAAUGAGAUGCCUCCAUUUAACAAGACUCUUGAUAAUCCCCCAACUUCAAAUUUGCUCCAACUACUAAUGUGGAAGUUAUAAACAGUCUUUUAGUAUGUUAAAAACAUCCAAUACAGAUUGAAGGCAAAAAUAAACAGAAGAAAAUCAUUCUAAAAUCUUUGAUUUGUUGAUAUAGGAUAGUAAAUUUAUGAAUAAAUUAUGAUAAACGUACCAUAGAACAACACUGGUUACUUUAAAUUAUCCUAAUAAUGUUGUAUUUUUCUGUAAAUAGAAAUGACUUAAUUUUAAUAUUUUGAGUGCUCAUUUUUCAAAAUUUUAGCCUUCUUUUUGUGCUCAUUAUGAAAAAACCUCGGUAUAUCACAUUUUUAUAUGGCUUUAUCUAUCAAUU